rnacentral:lncRNA from 1 species
GAUCCACGUCAUCCUCCCAGAUUUCCAGCGAUCCCGAAAUGCCAGCAUCUCACUGCAUCUAAUCCCGGCGUUUCAGCCUCUUCCGCAUCCAAGCUUCCCGUGAUGCAAGCCGUGAUCCAGCCGUCCGCAGUGAUCAUCCAUACCGCAUCCCGGACAACCCCCCUUAUCCAUGAUCCCAGCAUGGCCCGAAGAAGGAAGUCCACGCCCUCCUCCGCGAUCCGCCCAGCCGAUCCCUGCAUCCGCGUCGGAUCUUCACCCGUUUCAGUCUCCCAGCGUCACGCGAUUCAUCCCAAGACUGUGCAGCCCGGACAAUCCUCUCAACGUAAUCAGGGGGGUGGUGACCUAUUUAAGAGAGG